rnacentral:rRNA from 1 species
GACGAACGCUGGCGCCGUGCUUAACACAUGCAAGUCGAACGGACAGACAGAGAGCUUGCCCUCUUGCAGCUAGUGGCGAACGGGUGAGUAACGCGUAGUCAACCUGCCCUUCAGAGGGGGAUAACAACGGGAAACCGUUGCUAAUACCGCGUACGACUCAUGCACGGCAUCGUUUAUGAAUGAAACGUGGCCUCUAUGUAUAAGCUAUCGCUGAAGGAGGGGAUGUCGACUGAUUAGCUAGUUGGAGGGGUAACGGCCCACCAAGGCAAUGAUCAGUAGCCGGUCUGAGAGGAUGAACGGCCACAUUGGGACUGAGACACGGCCCAAACUCCUACGGGAGGCAGCAGUGGGGAAUCUUCCGCAAUGGACGAAAGUCUGACGGAGCAACGCCGCGUGAGUGAUGAAGGUCUUCGGAUUGUAAAGCUCUGUUAAUCGGGACGAAAGAGUUCUGCGUGAAUGAUGCAGAAAAGUGACGGUACCGGAAUAGAAAGCCACGGCUAACUACGUGCCAGCCGCCGCCGUAA